rnacentral:tRNA from 2 species
AGCAUAUAUUUGGCUUAUGUUACGGCCAUAAGAGGGGUAUUUAGAUACCGUAUGUUU